ACAACAACAUUCGGACAGUUGGUAUACCGAGCAAUAUCACCCGCUCUGUGGAAGAUUUUUCCUUUGUCGUAUACA
rnacentral:pre_miRNA from 1 species